UGCAGUCGAGCGCCCCUUCGGGGGAGCGGCAGACGGGUGAGUAAUGCAUGGGAAUCUACCCAGCUCUACGGAAUAACUCAGGGAAACUUGAACUAAUACCGUAUGCGCCCUUCGGGGGAAAGAUUUAUCGGAGUUGGAUGAGCCCAUGUCUGAUUAGCUAGUUGGUGGGGUAAAGGCCUACCAAGGCGACGAUCAGUAGCUGGUCUGAGAGGAUGAUCAGCCACACUGGGACUGAGACACGGCCCAGACUCCUACGGGAGGCAGCAGUGGGGAAUAUUGGACAAUGGGGGCAACCCUGAUCCAGCCAUGCCGCGUGAGUGAUGAAGGCCCUAGGGUUGUAAAGCUCUUUCACCGGUGAAGAUAAUGACGGUAACCGGAGAAGAAGCCCCGGCUAACUUCGUGCCAGCAGCCGCGGUAAUACGAAGGGGGCUAGCGUUGUUCGGAAUUACUGGGCGUAAAGCGCGCGUAGGCGGAUCGGUCAGUUAGGGGUGAAAUCCCGGGGCUCAACCACGGAACUGCCUCUAAUACUG
rnacentral:rRNA from 1 species